CUACAUAAAAAUUCCGAACAUCUAAAUAAAAUAUUAGAAUCUUCCUUACUGAUAUAAAGUAGAAUAAUUAACAUGAAAUAUUUUGAAUAAAACCAAAUUUUUUCGAAUAGACUACAUAUAAAUUCCGAACAUCUAAAUAAAAUCUUUGUUACUAACUACGAUGCACGGAUUCAUGCAAAAACAACACCGUGCAGUAUCCGAUUCGCGCGGGGGACGGGUGCGGGCGUGAUUCGCGUGGGAUUCGCACGGGAUUCGCCACCUAGUGAAUCCCCCCAAAAAUUAAAAAAAAAAACUGGAUUCGCGAAUCGGGAUUCUCUCUCUCUUCACAUAGCAGACAUGGCGGUGGUGGCCGGUGGCUAUGGCGGCUCUGCCGUCCUGUUUCCAUCGGCGAGGACGAAGGCAUUAACGGCGUAUCGCGGUGGUGGCUGAUGUGCCAUGUUUCCGAGAGAGAGAGAGAGGUUUAGAGAAGAGACAAGUGAGGGUCAGAGAGUAGGAGACUUCAGGGAGGGAGAGAGAGAAGGAGUCGCCGCUCGCCGGCGGCGAAAGCGACGCCGUUGAACGGCGGCGGCGGAGACAGAGGGAGGCCGAGAGAGGGAUGAGAUGAGAGGGUGCCGCGGGUAUGUGUGUUGAGUGUGUGUGUGAUGGAAUGUGUUUAAGUGUGUGUUAUUUUAGGUUAAGUAUUAAAAUGGGCUUUGGGCCCCUUCUUUUAUUGAAAUGGGCUGGGUCUUCAUAGUGUUGAAUUCUUUAUGAUGGGCUGCAAAAUUGUGUUUUUAGUGUUGAAUCUUUUAUGAUGG
rnacentral:lncRNA from 1 species